CUUCCUCUGGAUUCGCGGCGAGGAGAGAAGACAGUCAGAUCGUCAUUUCAGCGGUUUUUGUUCCGGGUUGUAGAGGCUUACACAGCUCUUACAUCGCCGAUAAAGUUCACGGGUUGUGGAGGCUUCUUUAGCUCUGUGGCGCCGUUCAAGUUCCCGGAGCGUGGAGGCUAAUACAGCUCCAGUGCUGUCGGCUUUCGCUGGCUCUUGGUAUCCUAGGUUC
rnacentral:lncRNA from 1 species